UUGGACAGGGCUUGGAGCAAUCUGCUCUGGGGGAAGGUGCCCCUGCUCAUGGCAGGGGGGUGGAACAAGAUGGGCUUUAAGGUCCCUUCUGACCCAAACC